CCUACGGGAGGCAGCAGUAGGGAAUCUUCCACAAUGGGCGAAAGCCUGAUGGAGCAACGCCGCGUGGGUGAAGAAGGUCUUCGGAUCGUAAAACCCUGUUGUUAGAGAAGAAAGUGCGUGAGAGUAACUGUUCACGUUUCGACGGUAUCUAACCAGAAAGCCACGGCUAACUACGUGCCAGCAGCCGCGGUAAUACGUAGGUGGCAAGUGUUAUCCGGAUUUAUUGGGCGUAAAGGGAACGCAGGCGGUCUUUUAAGUCUGAUGUGAAAGCCUUCGGCUUAACCGGAGUAGUGCAUUGGAAACUGGGAGACUUGAGUGCAGAAGAGGAGAGUGGAACUCCAUGUGUAGCGGUGAAAUGCGUAGAUAUAUGGAAGAACACCAGUGGCGAAAGCGGCUUUCUGGUCUGUAACUGACGCUGAGGUUCGAAAGCGUGGGUAGCAAACAGGAUUAGAUACCCUUGUAGUC
rnacentral:rRNA from 1 species